AUAGCCUUGCGAAGUUUGCCGUUUUUCAGUCAUUUUGUAUUACGCACGGGAAAUUGACAGCCCAAUCGGGUGUUGGGGCAUCAAUUUCCCGUUUGUAAUCUAAAAUGACUGAAAAUUGCAAACUUCGCAAGGUUAUAUUUAGUUUCCGUAUUUUACAACAUUUCGUAACGAAACUUUGGAAUAUUACAAAUUUUGUGAUGCUCUUUCAAGCUGUGAUGAAAUAUUUGUCUAGAUCAAAAUUUAGUCUAUAAUGCAAAUGGUCCAUUGCCAAGCCUAGAACAGAAUUAUAAUUUUGCAGUUGUGACAAGCUUGUUGUCGGUAUGCAAGUUUUUCUUCAACACAAUCAUAACAAGCAACGUCAGCCACAUACAAUGCAACUUGGAAAGAAUUCGAGCAAGGCAUCUCUUGAAAGAAAUUGUAACAUUGAAAUAGAUCGCAUUCAUCAAACUUAGAAUAUCAUCAAAACAACUGAACGAGUAAUGCAGGCAGGCUGCGGAUAAGACUUGGACAGUAUCUAGUUUACUACGGUCAUCGCUCACAAACAAACGGGCAAACAAUUCCCCCAAUGACAAUGCACAAAAUAUAGCCCAUCUCAAUGGUCACAGCAUACAUUCACUCGCUUUGACGUUUUUUACACGUAAUACAUACAUGAUCUUUGAACAUGAUAGCUCUAUAUAUCUCUAUAUAUAUCAUUCGGCCUACACACGCAAAAUUCUCACAACUUGUAGCAAGUCUGCCAACAAGCCGUCAACAAGUUGUGUUCGCACUGCUUGUCCCAAGUUGUCAACAAGUUUGGAAACAACCUUGUUGUGUUGAUAUUAUCAGACUUGUUGCAAGGUUGUUCUGACAAGUCCGAUACAGUCAUGAUAUAACAAUACUGUUACAACCUUGUGUCGUCAACCUUGUAACAUUCUUGUUAUUAACAUGACUAGUCGUAUUGGACUUGCUAGAAGAACGUUGUAACAAGUCUGAUAAUGCCAUCAAGCUUGUUACAAGUUGUUAACAGCUUGUUCCAAACUUGUUACAACUACUGGAAACAAGACAGCUUGCGAACAGAUUUGUAGCAACUUGCUUGCAGACCUGUAACAACUUGUGCGUUUGAGAAGUGAAGCCAAGCCUGCCUUCACUUUUUUGACCCAAAUUCUCGCUCCAGUUCUAUAUGCGGGUCACUGCUUGACACGGCAGCACAAUACGAAGCAAUGCCAAUAAUCAAUUAGCAAAACACGUCAGUAUUAACACAAUUACGAUCAAAAAAUUGUCAGAUAUUAAAUUAGUUGUUUAAACAAAAUCGUUUUGAAUGCAAACUCAUCGCCUAGGAACCGUUCUGUGUGGUCAAAAGACUUAUCCAAAUGAUAAUCUGAAUUGGGUUAAUUAAUAUUGGGCCCAAAAUGUUCAUUUUUAAUCCCGACUCUUUGUGUUUAAUAUUCUAUACUUUAGAAGUUGGAACGAUACCAAAGUAUCUUAGAAAUGAAAAAUUGAAAGGUCCCGACCUUUUAUUUAUCGUCAUGUAGAAUGAGCUACAUAACAAUUAAAUAUUAUUAUUAUUAUCAAAUAUUAUUUAAAUAAAUUGAAUUUCAU